rnacentral:rRNA from 1 species
AACGCUAGCUACAGGCUUAACACACGCAAGUCGAGGGGCAGCAUGAUUGAAGCUUGCUUCAAUUGAUGGCGACCGGCGCACGGGUGAGUAACACGUAUCCAACCUGCCGAUGACUCGGGGAUAGCCUUUCGAAAGAAAGAUUAAUACCCGAUGGCAUAGUUCUUCCGCAUGGUGGAACUAUUAAAGAAUUUCGGUCAUCGAUGGGGAUGCGUUCCAUUAGGUUGUUGGCGGGGUAACGGCCCACCAAGCCUUCGAUGGAUAGGGGUUCUGAGAGGAAGGUCCCCCACAUUGGAACUGAGACACGGUCCAAACUCCUACGGGAGGCAGCAGUGAGGAAUAUUGGUCAAUGGACGAGAGUCUGAACCAGCCAAGUAGCGUGAAGGAUGACUGCCCUAUGGGUUGUAAACUACUUUUAUACGGGAAUAAAGUGAGGCACGUGUGCCUUUUUGUAUGUACCGUAUGAAUAAGGAUCGGCUAACUCCGCGCCAGCAGCCGCGGUAAUACGGAGGAUCCGAGCGUUAUCCGGAUUUAUUGGGUUUAAAGGGAGCGUAGGCGGACGCUUAAGUCAGUUGUGAAAGUUUGCGGCUCAACCGUAAAAUUGCAGUUGAUACUGGGUGUCUUGAGUACAGUAGAGGCAGGCGGAAUUCGUGGUGUAGCGGUGAAAUGCUAAGAUAUCACGAAGAACUCCGAUUG